rnacentral:rRNA from 1 species
AGAACGACUCUCGGCAACGGAUAUCUCGGCUCUCGCAUCGAUGAAGAACGUAGCGAAAUGCGAUACUUGGUGCCGAAGCCACUAGGCCGAGGGCACGCCUGCCUGGGCGUCUCAC